rnacentral:sRNA from 1 species
CAAAUUCAACCCAUCACAUAGGCCCUCCCCGAGGCCACCUCUGCGUCAUCUUUGUCUACAGAUUCUGGGAUUGUCUUCCUCUCCUGAUUGACUGCAUGAAGGGGAUUUCUGGUGGGGGAAGGGUAGCAGCUCUUGCCACACAUGCAGAGAGAGAGGAACUUCCAGUGCCCGCUAUGGAGCCACAGCCCACAGCAUGGGGAGGGCCCCGUCCAGUGGCAGUGCUGCAACUAGAGGUAGCUCCAGAGUCCUCCGGGCCCUGCACCGAUACAGCCAAAGACCAGCAAAGCGACGAGCUGCCAGACCUCAUGCCACCUGCCGUAGCCACUGGCCUGAGCCCUGGAGCUGAGAGCGUCGCUGGAGAUAGAUGUGGCAGAGAAGAGGUUAUGAGCAUGGCCCCAGCCAGCAGCUCCCACGCUGCCCCUAGUCCUGGGCAUGGAGCGAGCCUUGGUUUCGGAGACCAGGGUGUGCAGUCAGAGCUCCUCUACCUUACUAAAGAGAGGCCUCUUUUAUUUACCAGAGCCACAGCCAUGCUGCAUCAGGACCUUUUCAUUCUGCCAGUGCUGGGGCUGUCUAUCUGCAAGCUGGAGGUGUUGAGAGCAGGAAAAGGAGGCUGUGAGGAAGGGUUCCAGCAGCUCCUCCUGCUCUCAGAG